rnacentral:rRNA from 1 species
CCUACGGGGGGCAGCAGUGGGGAAUAUUUCACAAUGGGGGAAACCCUGAUGCAGCGACGCCGCGUGAGUGAAGAAGUAUCUCGGUAUGUAAAGCUCUAUCAGCAGGGAAGAAAUAGCGACCUUUGGGUCGCCAGACGGUACCUGACUAAGAAGCCCCGGCUAACUACGUGCCAGCAGCCGCGGUAAUACGUAGGGGGCAAGCGUUAUCCGGAUUUACUGGGUGUAAAGGGAGCGUAGACUGCAGCACAAGUCUGAAGUGAAAUGCCGGGGCUUAACCCCGGAACUGCUUUGGAAACUGUGCAGCUAGAGUGCAGGAGAGGUAAGUGGAAUUCCUAGUGUAGCGGUGAAAUGCGUAGAUAUUAGGAGGAACACCAGUGGCGAAGGCGGGUUACUGGACUGUAACUGACGUUGAGGCUCGAAGGCGUGGGGAGCGAACGGGAUUAGAUACCCUGGUAGUC